rnacentral:rRNA from 1 species
UACGUAGGGUGCAAGCGUUAAUCGGAAUUACUGGGCGUAAAGCGUGCGCAGGCGGUUAUGUAAGACAGAUGUGAAAUCCCCGGGCUCAACCUGGGAACUGCAUUUGUGACUGCAUAGCUAGAGUACGGUAGAGGGGGAUGGAAUUCCGCGUGUAGCAGUGAAAUGCGUAGAUAUGCGGAGGAACACCGAUGGCGAAGGCAAUCCCCUGGACCUGUACUGACGCUCAUGCGCGAAAGCGUGGGGAGCAAACAGG